UACAGAGGUCUCAAGCGUUGUUCGGAUUCAUUGGGCGUAAAGGGUGCGUAGGCGGCGCGGUAAGUCGGGUGUGAAAUCUUGGAGCUUAACUCCGAAACUGCAUUCGAUACUGCGGUGCUUGAGGACUGGAGAGGAGACUGGAAUUUACGGUGUAGCAGUGAAAUGCGUAGAGAUCGUAAGGAAGACCAGUGGCGAAGGCGGGUCUCUGGAAAGUUCCUGACACUGAGGCACGAAGGCCAGGGGAGCAAACGGG
rnacentral:rRNA from 1 species